rnacentral:tRNA from 1 species
GGAGAGGUGGCUCAGGGGUUAAGAGCACUGACUGUUCUUCCAGAGGUCCUGAGUUCAAUUCCCAGCAACCCCA